rnacentral:rRNA from 1 species
UACGUAGGUGGCAAGCGUUAUCCGGAAUUAUUGGGCGUAAAGCGCGCGCAGGUGGUUUCUUAAGUCUGAUGUGAAAGCCCACGGCUCAACCGUGGAGGGUCAUUGGAAACUGGGAAACUUGAGUGCAGAAGAGGAAAGUGGAAUUCCACGUGUAGCGGUGAAAUGCGUAGAGAUGUGGAGGAACACCAGUGGCGAAGGCGACUUUCUGGUCUGCAACUGACACUGAGGCGCGAAAGCGUGGGGAGCAAACAGG